AUUCUGCCUUCUACUGCAUCCCUGGUUACGCCUCCUCUGGCUCAGUCGCACAGCUACCUGUUAAAAGAAUAUUGGCAGAGAAACAGCCCUGGUGUUCCAGCAGGAGCCAAGAGGAACAGGAAAACAAAUGGCAGCAUCCAUGAGACAGCCACUUCUGGUGGUUGCCACUCACCUGGAGAUUCAGCAACAGGUAUCCACGGGGAGAGCCCUACAUCAUCUGCUACCCUGAAGGAUCUGGAGAGCCCGUGCCAAGAACUAGCAGUAGUCCCAGACUCGAGGUCCGUAAAAGUCAGUCAACUGAAGAACACCAUCAAAUCUUUGAAACAACAGAAUAAACAAGUGGAACAUCAGCUGGAAGAAGUAACAUGAUUUCUUUGUUUGCUCGCGACAUGACUGCUCGGUUUGGGGGACACUCAGAUGUAGAGGCCCCGAGUCUCGUCUCACCCACUCCCAGCCUGGGGAAGAAGGCUCACCCCCCAGAGUCCACCCCAUCCCCCACAGGGUCCCUGAUAACCCGGUCCCAUGGGUGGGCCUGUCCCGGGGCAGGGGCAGUGGUGGCAUUCUG
rnacentral:lncRNA from 1 species